GGCGGCGACCGGCAAACGGGUGCGGAACACGUACAGAACCUUCCUUUAAGUGGGGGAUAGCCCGGAGAAAUCCGGAUUAAUACCCCGUAAUAUUAUUGAGUGGCAUCAUUUGAUAAUUAUAGAUUUAUCGCUUAGAGAUGGCUGUGCGUCUGAUUAGGUAGUUGGUUGAGGUAACGGCUCACCAAGCCUUCGAUCAGUAACUGGUGUGAGAGCACGACCAGUCACACGGGCACUGAGACACGGGCCCGACUCCUACGGGAGGCAGCAGUAAGGAAUAUUGGUCAAUGGACGCAAGUCUGAACCAGCCAUGCCACGUGAAGGAUGAAGGCCCUCUGGGUUGUAAACUUCUUUUAUCUGGGAAGAAACCACUUUUUUUUAAGGGUGUUGACGGUACCAGAGGAAUAAGCACCGGCUAACUCCGUGCCAGCAGCCGCGGUAAUACGGAGGGUGCAAGCGUUAUCCGGAUUCACUGGGUUUAAAGGGUGCGUANGUGGGCUUGUAAGUCAGUGGUGAAAUCU
rnacentral:rRNA from 1 species